UAGAUUAAUCUGCGUUCAUCGAAGAUUUUCAUCAUUUCCUUGAGUCUAGAUAAUCAAUAAGACGAUAAAAUCAAGCCUCGAUUUGUAGCACAUGCUGAUUUCCGUGACGUAAAUGCUCUUGCGAUGGUUGGUUCAAGCUGUGGACACGACGAAGCUCAAUGCAGAGACCGGUGUGCCCUAGCAAACCUCCUGUUACACAGGAUUUCUGCCAUACAGAUGCAACAGAGCCGUUCCCCACUGGGCUCUCAGAAGCCGGCGUGAGCUGACUCCAGCACCUGUCCCUGCCAGCAGGGACGACUCCAGGAGGACUGCCAGGCCAAGACACAGAAAGGCCAUAGAGAGCACACAUCUGAAUGCGUCAACCCCGGCUGAAGCCCUUUCUGCCUCCUAAUCCUGGAACCUGUGACUCGGUUGCCUUACCUGGCAAAGUGAAUUAAGGCAUCAGGUGGAAUGAAAAUUGCUAAUCUACUGACCUUAACAUCAGGAGUUUAUUUUGGAUUAUCCUGGUAGGCCCAAAGUGAUCACCAAGAUCCUUAAAUGUGAAAGAGGAGGCGGAAGAGGAGCUCAGGGGAUGAGAUGUGAGAAGGCCUCCACGCCAGUGCUGCCUUUGAAGAGGGAGGAGGGGCCGAGGGUCAAGGCCUCAGGGCAGCUCUAGAAGCCGGGAAAGGCAAGAAGUGGACUCUCCCUAAACCCAGCCUCUGGGAGGAACCAGCCCUGCAGUACCUUGAUUUUAGCUCAAGGAGACCUGUGUUGGACUUCAAUCUCUAGACCUUUAAGAGAAUA
rnacentral:lncRNA from 1 species